GUAGAAAAAGAGGUAUACUGUAGGACUCGGAUCAAAUCGGUAGAAAAAGAGGUAUACUGUAGGACUCGGAUCAAAUCGGUAGAAAAAGAGGUAUACUGUAGGACUCAGAUCGGUGUUUCCUUCUGUUUACAACAUCGACAUGGAUAAAAAUUGAGGUCAAAGGAAUUUAGUGUAGCGUGUAACUUGUAUUCAGGUUAAACAUAAAAAAUGUUGAAAAUCAUUUCUCUCUGGUCUUCAGCAGUACAGUUUAUCAAUUAUGUCCCAAUAUGGAUGAGCUCUGUUUGGAAGGGGAGGGGGAGGGGUGUAUUUAUCCCAUUAGGAUGAGUCUUGCAUUGCAAAUGAAUUAAAAAUUUAUUUUUUGACCUGGGUAGAGUACUAUUGAAAACAAUAAAUUAAAAUCAAAUGAAUGUUACUAUUUAACUUUUAGUGGAGGAUUUGAAUUUUAUACCAGGAAACCACAGGCACUUGUUUCUGUAAAUGACUUAUGAGCUCUGUAUACUAAGAACAACACAAGGUACAUAGCUUCAAAUGACACAGAAUGGCACCCCCUGAGAAUGU